CAAAGUGCUGGGAUUACAGGUGUGAGCUACUGCGCCUGGCCUGCUGUACAGUUUUAAAGAUGAAUUACAUUGAUGUAUUUUGAAAUAUUCAACUUACCCUUACAUACGUGGAAUAAAUCCCACUUGGUCAUGGUGCAUACUUCUUAUAUAUUUUGAAUUUUGUUUUCAAAUAUUUUGUUGAGGAUUUUCACAUGUAAGUUCAUGACAGAUAUUGGCCUGUAGUUGUGUGUGUGUGCACACGUGUGCAUGCAGUCAUGCUGUCUUCGGUUUGUUAUCAGGGUAGUGUAAUACUGGCCUCAUAAAAUGAGUUGAGAGAUAUAUUCCCCCUCUUCUAUUUUUCUGGAAUAUCAUGUAAAGCUGAUAUAAAUUAUUCUUUAAAUGACUGGUACAGUUCUCCAUCUGGGCCUAGAGAUUUCUGUUUGGGUAGAUCAUUAGUAGUUCAAUUUCUUUACUGGAUAUAGGGCUUUUCGAUACUCAACUUCAUCAUGGGUGAGUUUUGGUAGUUUGUGGUUUUUAAGAAAUUAAUCCAUUUCUUCCAAGCUGUUGAAUUUAUAAGUGUGAAGUUGUUAGUAGAGAUCCUUUUUUAUUUUUGAUGUUGG
rnacentral:lncRNA from 10 species